rnacentral:rRNA from 1 species
UACGAAGGGGGCAAGCGUUAAUCGGAAUUACUGGGCGUAAAGCGUGCGCAGGCGGUUUUGUAAGUCAGAUGUGAAAUCCCCGGGCUUAACCUGGGAACUGCGUUUGAAACUACAAGGCUAGAGUGUGGCAGAGGGGGGUGGAAUUCCACGUGUAGCAGUGAAAUGCGUAGAGAUGUGGAGGAACACCGAUGGCGAAGGCAGCCCCCUGGGUUAACACUGACGCUCAGGCACGAAAGCGUGGGGAGCAAACAGG